rnacentral:lncRNA from 1 species
GGCUCCUGCUCCUCAGCAGAGGUAGUUAACACUUACCUAAGGUAGUGCAUUAGUUCCCAUUUUUUGUCCUCUACGUGUAUGCCCUUGCAUUGCUUGGUAUAAUUUGUGUCAGUAUUAUUUGUUGUCACUUCUCAAACUGAAGCUGUGACACUAACCCUGCCAGCCAGGGGAAAAAAGCUACUCAUGGAGGCAACACAAGCCAGUGUCAUUUAAAUCAGAUGAGCCCAGUGGUGUGGAAAUUGCUUCUGUUGCAUAAGCGUGUUUGCUGGUAAACCCAAAAUGAUGGGCUGGCGAGCAUACACAAUUAGCCCAAUACCUGUGGAUGUAAUUCAGUGCCACUUUGGUGGAAGAAGUACUGUGAAAAAAGGAGAGGCUGGAGAUUUUUCUAUCAGAUUUUCUUCCUACUACUAGAAAUCAUAGCUGCCGCGUGCAAUAUUUAAUAUCUGAUGCUAGUUUCCACCUUUCAGCCACAGCCACUUUUCACUUACCAACUAAUCGUCACCCAGAAGUGUGCUGAAACCUGUUAUAAAUGGGCAUACAAAGGCUUUCUCCAGCACUAAAUCACGGCCAUCUCUCCAGCGCAAAGGGGCCGCUUCCAGCAGCCUCCCAUGGCAGCUCAGGCCAGGAGAGGAACAAGCUUUUCCCAAGCAGCACGAAGAGUUCAGACUCACCAACACCCCUUGUCAGGGCUGAAAUUCAUCCCCAAAGACCUUGGCUAGGUCUUUUCUCCACCGAGGUGUUAGGCGGCACCUCUAGGAGCAGCUCGGAUUUUGGGAACUGCUUAUUGCCACCAGUGCCCUGAGCAGGGAUGCUCUGUCCUCGGCCAGCUGCCCCUUUCCUGAAGGAAAGCUGAGCCCAAGCCCCCUUCCCACCCUGUCCCCAUCCCCGUGUCCGACUCCCGGACUUCUCGCAGGGGGCGCACCGGGAGCCCACGGGGUGGGAUGCAGCUCCCUAAGCCGCGGCUGGGGCAGUUUGAGCAGAGGCUUGGGGGACAACUUGGGGGACCUCCCCCUGUUGCCCUGGGCUCCCCGGUGCCGCUUCUUCUUCUUCUUCCUCCUCCUCAUCCUCCUCCUCAUCCUCCUCCCCCUCCUCCUCCUCGGGGCCGCUCCAGCCGCCGGGCUCCGUGCUCCCCGCCCUCCUCACCGCCCACCCCCGGCCGCCUCCCCCCACUCCUUCUCCUCCUCCUCCUUCUUCUUUUUCUUCCUCCUCCUCCUCCUCCUCAUCCUCCGGGAGCCUUGCCUCCCCUGCACACCUGCCUUGCCAUUUGUCGGCGGCUUCGCUGGGAGGGGAGAAUUUUCCCUCGCUCCCUUGCAGCAUCCCUCCCCGCCGCUCUCACACACACCACACACACACCCGCACCCAGACAAACAGACAGACAGACAGACAGACACACGGACACACCGCUCGCUCCCUUCCUUCCUUCCCCUGUGCAUCGGCAGCGGCCGCCGCCUCCUCCUCCUCCUCCUCCCCGGCCCCCCGCUCCCCGCCGCCGCGGGGCGUCCUCCGCCCGCUGCAGCGCCGCCGGGGAGGGGAAGGGAGAGGAAAAAGGAAAGGAAAAAGGGAAAAAGGGGAGGGGAGGAAAGGAGAGGGGGCGGGCGGCGGCUCCCGCUGCUCCGCGGCCCCGCACCGGCAGCCGGGGGACGAUGAAGACAGAGGAAAGGAAAGAAAUCCUUCCACGAAGAGGCAGAAGGACAGAGAAGGUGCCCUUGCGGAGACAGCAAAUAACAGAGUCAACAAGGAACAGUAACUAAAAGGCAGCAGCGUACAGAAUCAGAUUUUGGAGUUGUGCAGAGAAGUACUAGGGAUCUUGGAUUCUGAACUUGAAGCAAUUCUUGAUUAUAUGCUUCUUGAAAGUUGGAGAAUACCUGCAAUAAAUUG